AGAGUUUGAUCAUGGCUCAGAACGAACGCUGGCGGUGUGGAUAAGGCAUGCAAGUCGGACGGCCGAGCUAGAAUUAACGGCACGGCAGUGGCGAAAGGAUGCGUAACACGUGAGUAAUCUACCUUUGAGUUGGGGAUAACUCCGCGAAAGCGGGGCUAAUACCGAAUACGACCCCGCCCUCUAUCGAGGGCGGAGUGAAAGGUGGGGAAUCGAAAGAUCCUAUCACUCUUAGAUGAGCUCACGGCCUAUCAGGUAGUUGGUGAGGUAACGGCUCACCAAGCCAAUGACGGGUAGCUGGUUUGAGAGGAUGGUCAGCCAUACUGGAACUGAGACACGGUCCAGACUCCUACGGGAGGCAGCAGCCGAGAAUCUUUCGCAAUGGGCGAAAGCCUGACGGAGCGACACCGCGUGUAGGAUGAAAGCCUUCGGGUUGUAAACUACUGUCACUUGGGAAGAGAUUUGUUGCAACAAAUAAUUGCAGCAAUUGACUGUACCAAGAGAGGAAGCCACGGCUAACUCUGUGCCAGCAGCCGCGGUAAUACAGAGGUGGCGAGCGUUGUUCGGAUUGAUUGGGUGUAAAGGGUGCGUAGGCGGCUUGGUAAGUUGGAUGUGAAAUCCUAUAGCUCAACUAUAGAAUUGCAUUCAAAACUGCUAAGCUAGAGUGCGAGAGAGGUGAAGGGAAUUCCCGGUGUAAGGGUGAAAUCUGUAGAGAUCGGGAGGAACACCAGAAGCGAAGGCGCUUCACUGGCUCGUAACUGACGCUGAGUGCACGAAAGCGUGGGGANNAAACGGGAUUAGAUACCCUAGUAGUCC
rnacentral:rRNA from 1 species